UCCUUCAAGGGCUCCCAGGGCCCUCCAGUGCAUUCUCAGGUGCCCUAGGAGCCUCUUGCUGCACCCUAAGAGGCAUCCCAGGGACACUUACUGUAAUCUACUGCCCUCUGGAGGCCUCUCGGGGGUAUCUAGGGCACACCAGGAAGUUGUUACAAGGAACACAAAGCAUCAGUCCAUGAUGACAGAGAAACAAACUGGUGCAUGGCCUAGUCUAAAUAGGUUGAAGUAUCUUUCCUGGACUCAGUGGACAUCAUACUGUUGGCAGCAGUACAUCAGAAACCUCAUCCUCCAGCUGAUACCAUAUGGCUUUGAAACAGCUCCCUAGAAGCUCUUAUCUCCAUGCCAGUUACUUCACAGAAACUCAACAGUUACUGGGACUUCAGGAAGAGAGAGCCCAGGAACUUCUGGUAUGUUCUGUUAAAGCAUAAUAGCUAAUGUAUGUGUUAAAUAUAUACUUGAUAUACAGUUACUUAUGUACGCUGUUGCUUCACUUCUUUUAAUCUGUUCCCUUGUAGGGUAGUAAACAUGCUAGACCAAUUAGUAAUUGGAACAGUCUGCACACAACUAACAGAUAUAAAAAUCUACUUUUCUGAGGGAGGUUUUUCAUCUGAGACUAGACAGUAACCUAUUUAAAAAUCUGAAGUUAAAUCCUGCCCCAGCUUUUCACUGGGAGCACCAUAUGUGCUAUAUUCAUUUCUCACUGGAUGGCCAUUAAGUCUGUUGCUUGGUUUUCUCUGGGUCUAUCUUUGUGUGUUCUUAAAAGUUAAACUUGGCCUGCAUGUUUCAAGAUGUAACAGUGUUACCUUCCAGCUUCUGACUUCAAAAAUGUUUCCUGCUUAGCCAUGUUUAUAUAUUGAUUUUUACGCUGUAUUUUUUUUAUAUCCAAACACUUCCGUAGCUGACAUUGGACAGAGGUGUUAACAUAAGGCUCUGCUUGUUCUAACUGGGCCAAGAGAAAGGAAAAGAGGUAACAAAUCAAAACACAAACAAAAAACACACUUUAGUGAUCAGGUAGACUAAAAGGUAUUUAUUUAGAAACAACAGCUUUGGUAUUUGAAAACCAAACAACCUUUAAAUCACUAGAAAGUGAGAUGUCUCCCCCCAUAGCCAAAACAAAUCAAUGCACAAAGUCUCAAUAUGCUCAGAAUAGGAAACCUGCGAAUUAGCAUUUCCAAGUGUAAGUCCAGAAAACAAUUUCCUUAAACUGAUUUUGCACUCUACAAUCAUAAAGGCUGAAAAAUGUUACCUGCACUUAGAUAUCUACAGUUCAAUUGACUGACUUGUUACUGAACUGGAGGCAAAAUUAAUAACAUUCUCCCCCAACCCCCCCAAGCAAUAAAUUAAAAAACGUAUACCAGAAAGGAAGUUACACUGAAGUUUUCUAGUUAAGUUAACUCUCUGAUGGGAAUCAUCAUUCUUUAUUUUCCUGUGGGAUUAAAAAAAAAAAAAA